rnacentral:rRNA from 1 species
CCUCCUUUGUGCUGCCGUGGGGAAUAUUGCACAAUGGGGGAAACCCUGAUGCAGCGACGCCGCGUGAGUGAAGAAGUAAUUCGUUAUGUAAAGCUCUAUCAGCAGGGAAGAAAAUGACGUUACCUGAGUAAGAAGCCCCGGCUAACUACGUGCCAGCAGCCGCGGUAAUACGUAGGGGGCAAGCGUUAUCCGGAUUUACUGGGUGUAAAGUGAGCGUAGACGGCAGUGCAAGUCUGGAGUGAAAGGCGGGGGCUCAACCCCCGGACUGCUCUGGAAACUGUACGGCUGGAGUGCAGGAGAGGAUAGUGGAAUUCCUGGUGUAGCGGUGAAAUGCGUAGAUAUUAGGAGGAACACCAGUGGCGAAGGCGACUUACUGGAAUGUAACUGACGUUGAGGCUCGAAAGCGUGGGGAGCAAACAGGAUUAGAUACCCCAGUAGUC